AGAGCAGCAAACAUUGUCAGGAAAGGGAAAUUUACAGUUCCUGGUAGCUCUUUACUUCGUUGUUCUCUUCACAAUCUUGCUGCUUUUUUGGUGUUCUAUAGAGGCUGGUCCUCACCCUGCUCAUGUCUGAGUCAGGAAUACAAGGUCAGGUUGGCAGUCAGUGUUCAGCUCCUUAUAGUUUCUCUGCUAAAUGACCCAUUUUUAAAGAAACAUUACUAAACUUCCUUGAAUUAAUCCUGCUGCCAUUAACAUUACUACUGUGAGACUUCCCCUUUUCUUGACAAAGAAGAAGAAAGGCUGGAUGAUGCAAUUUCCUUUUGUCAGUGAUUGUACUUUCAUGAAGAGGUGGCUGUAGGCACUUACAGACCACUGCUGCAAAGACUUCAUGGGAUCCCAGGGGCUGCUCAGCAAGGGACAGUUACAAUUAGUGUAGUUUUCCUAAACUUUCCUACACAUAAGAUUCCUCAUCUAGAUUCUUAAAGGAGACCGUUUCUGUUAACAAUACCCUCCUUAGCCUGAGAUACUAAAAUCACAGUCUUGGCAUUCAGUUAAGCAGUUAAUUCUGAAAGCUGGCCAAGCUUCUUGUGCCCUUUAAUGUAGCUUUAACAUCCCACUGCCAUCUUUUUCUUUCUGCCCCUUUCUCCCCAUGUCCAAAUCACUGAAAAAUAUUAAAGCUAUUCCCUUUGACAGCACCCUUUCUUGCCCAGGAAGAAAUAACCUGACACAGAAAGGUGAGAAUCAGGCUUGUUUCCAGGCAGCCCUUAUUUGGCUCUGAAACCAUUUGCAAAGUGAGGCAUUUCAGUUGGUUUAGUAUUUAUAGCAAAUACUUUCCUCUUCUUUGGAAAUCAACUUUGAGAUUAACUGAAGUGGAAACAUGGUAGGAUUUUCAAAGGCAUUUAAGAGAGGCAGUUGACCAUUUACCCUCAAAAGUCACAGCAAUAAGAGUCCUUUGUAUUCAGCUGGAAAAGGUGGGAGAAUUUUCCAUGGGCUAUUGUGCCUUUCCUAUUUUAGGGUUGUGAAGCACCUUCAGAGCAUGUGGAGUACUCAGUCCCAGCAUCUGCAGGAAAAGAGCAACUGUAGUUCUCGGGCAAAAAAGAGAUGGGUUAGGAGCUUUGUUUACUCCAAGCCCUUCCAUGCCCAUGCACUUCAAAACUGGUGCCUGAAUGAUUUCCUGCCAAGUUCAGGAAAAUGAGUUAAGAAUGCUUCAAAAGUAAAUAAAAGCAAAACUUCUCAGGCAAAACUCUAGCUGAAGAUUGAGCUGAAAAGAACAAUGAUGAACUUGUGAAUACAGUCUUUAACGUUUAUAGUUUUGUGAAGGCACUUGCACCUUUGCUUCCCGUUAAUGUGAAAAACAAGUGAAUGACUGGAUGAACACAUUAGUUUGGGACUGGGAGCUGAGCCAAAAAAGAUACAAGUCCUCUGGCAUGGGAGCUGCGGUGAGCAGCUGUACUACCAUUAGGGACAAAUGUAUCAAGGAAGAAAACCAUAUAUGAGGUGAUGUGAUGUGUGUGAUUUGUGAUCAUGCACUUCCCGUACAACCAGCAGAGCAGAGCAAACGUUCGUUCCACAUGUUACACAGCACCUCCCUCUCCCUUUACUUCUCUCAUACCUAAUGGGGUGUACUGGGCAUCUCACAAAUGGAUGUGGUAUUCAGCCACAGUAAUAACACUCCUGGAUCAUUAGACUGGGGCUGAUAACACAGUUUAUGGCUAGAAGAAUAGGUUCUGUUGGUCAUAUUUCCUUUAAGAAUGUUUCCCUUAAACAUUAUGGUUUUUAUAAAAAUACUAAAAUAAAAUACAAUACAAUAAAAUAAAAU